GAUGAACGCUGACAGAAUGCUUAACACAUGCAAGUCUACUUGAACUUCGGUUUGGGUGGCGGACGGGUGAGUAACGCGUAAAGAACUUGCCCCACAGAUAGGGACAACAUUUGGAAACGAAUGCUAAUACCUGAUAUUAUGAUUUUAGGGCAUCCUAGAAUUAUGAAAGCUAUAUGCACUGUGAGAGAGCUUUGCGUCCCAUUAGCUAGUUGGAGAGGUAGCGGCUCACCAAGGCGAUGAUGGGUAGCCGGCCUGAGAGGGUGAUCGGCCACAAGGGGACUGAGACACGGCCCUUACUCCUACGGGAGGCAGCAGUGGGGAAUAUUGGACAAUGGACCAAGAGUCUGAUCCAGCAAUUCUGUGUGCACGAUGAAGUUUUUCGGAAUGUAAAGUGCUUUCAGUUGGGAAGAAAAAAAUGACGGUACCAACAGAAGAAGUGACGGCUAAAUACGUG
rnacentral:rRNA from 1 species